rnacentral:tRNA from 1 species
GUUUAAAUAGUGUUAUUGCACAUCAACUUUUCAUGUUGAAAGAAAUAUUAUUAUUUUUAAAUA